UGGGGAAUUUUGGACAAUGGGCGAAAGCCUGAUCCAGCAAUGCCGCGUGUGUGAAGAAGGCCUUCGGGUUGUAAAGCACUUUUGUCCGGAAAGAAAUCCUUGGCUCUAAUACAGUCGGGGGAUGACGGUACCGGAAGAAUAAGCACCGGCUAACUACGUGCCAGCAGCCGCGGUAAUACGUAGGGUGCAAGCGUUAAUCGGAAUUACUGGGCGUAAAGCGUGCGCAGGCGGUUUGCUAAGACCGAUGUGAAAUCCCCGGGCUCAACCUGGGGAACUGCAUUGGUGACUGGCAGGCUAGAGUAUGGCAGAGGGGGGUAGAAUUCCACGUGUAGCAGUGAAAUGCGUAGAGAUGUGGAGGAAUACCGAUGGCGAAGGCAGCCCCCUGGGGCCAAUACUGACGCUCAUGCACGAAAGCGUGGGGAGCAAACAGGAUUAGAUACCCUGGUAGUCCACGCCCUAAACGAUGUCAACUAGUUGUUGGGGAUUCAUUUCCUUAGUAACGUAGCUAACGCGUGAAGUUGACCGCCUGGGGAGUACGGUCGCAAGAUUAAAACUCAAAUGAAUU
rnacentral:rRNA from 1 species